AUUGAACGCUGGCGGCAUGCUUUACACAUGCAAGUCGAACGGUAACAGGCCUUCGGGUGCUGCCGAGUUGCGAACGGGUGAGUAAUGCAUCGGAACGUGCCCAGCGGUGGGGGGUAACGCAGCGACAGCUGUGCUAAUACCCCAUUUGAUCUGAGGAUGAAAGCGGGGGACCAGGCGGCCUUGUUUGCCCUCGCGCUUUUGUGUCCGCAGAUGUCAGAUUAGGUAGUUGGUGGGGUAAAGGCCUACCAAGCCGACGAUCUGUAGCUGGUCUGAGAGGACGACCAGCCACACUGGGACUGAGACACGGCCCAGACUCCUACGGGAGGCAGCAGUGGGGAAUAUUGGACAAUGGGCGCAAGCCUGAUCCAGCAAUGCCGCGUGCAUGAAGAAGGCCUUCGGGUUGUAAAGCACUUUUGUACGGGACGAAAAGGGUAUGGCUAAUACCUGGGGAUGAUGACGGUACCGGAAGAAGAAGCACCGGCUAACUACGUG
rnacentral:rRNA from 1 species